GACGAACGCUGGCGGCGUGCUUAACACAUGCAAGUCGAACGGAAAGGCCCUGCUUUUGUGGGGUGCUCGAGUGGCGAACGGGUGAGUAACACGUGAGUAACCUGCCCUUGACUUUGGGAUAACUUCAGGAAACUGGGGCUAAUACCGGAUAGGAGCUCCUGCUGCAUGGUGGGGGUUGGAAAGUUUCGGCGGUUGGGGAUGGACUCGCGGCUUAUCAGCUUGUUGGUGGGGUAGUGGCUUACCAAGGCUUUGACGGGUAGCCGGCCUGAGAGGGUGACCGGCCACAAUGGGACUGAGAUACGGCCCAGACUCCUACGGGAGGCAGCAGUGGGGAAUAUUGCACAAUGGGCGGAAGCCUGAUGCAGCAACGCCGCGUGCGGGAUGACGGCCUUCGGGUUGUAAACCGCUUUCGCCUGUGACGAAGAGGGAGUGACGGUAAUGGGUAAAGAAGCACCGGCUAACUACGUG
rnacentral:rRNA from 1 species